rnacentral:lncRNA from 1 species
CACAACUUAGCGAUAUCAUCUAAGCAUUCCGCAUUCGCUAACUAACUAAUCAACCUAACCAUUAGCAUGCUACUACGGUUCUCAAUCAAUAACAAGCAUGCCAUCAACUCAAUCAACAUAACCUCAAUUAUUCAAACCGUUACCCAGUUAGACCUGACUUCCUGCCAUGAUCCAACUUCCAAGUAACGGGACCCUGCACGAAAACAACUCAGCAAUCAAUCGAUUAUAACUCACAGUUUUUGGUUGACCGUGGCCUUGACCCCAAACCCGACUUCUGCGAUCCGAACCCUUUCUUGACCUUCUCAAGUAGACCCACGUCCAGACGGGUCUUGAACUGGUCUCCACUAUAUCUGAUCUCCCUUCACUUGAACAUAACCUUCUUCAGGUGCUGACUCAAAAUCGGCAGAAUAACAGUUCUCGAAAACUGCCUAAAUCGCUCGAAAACUAU